rnacentral:rRNA from 1 species
GUGAACGCUGGCGGUCGGCCUAACACAUGCAAGUCGAACGGCAGCACCGUAAGCGCUUGCUCUUUCGGGUGGCGAGUGGCGGACGGGUGAGGAAUACAUCGGAAUCUACUUUUUCGUGGGGGAUAACGUAGGGACACUUACGCUAAUCCGGCAUACGUCUUACGGGUGAAAGGCGGGGAUGUUCGGCCCUUGCGCGUUUGCUUGGGCCGAGGUCGGCUUAGCUAGUUGUGGGGGUAAAGGCCCACCAAGGCGACGACCCGUAGCUGGUCUGAGAGGAUGAUCAGCCACACUGGAACUGAGACACGGUCCAGACUCCUACGGGAGGCAGCAGUGGGGAAUAUUGGGCAAUGGGCGCAAGCCUGAUCCAGCCAUGCCGCGUGGGUGAAGAAGGCCUUCGGGUUGUAAAGCCCUUUUGUUGGGAAAGAAAAGCAGCAGGUUAAUACCCCGCUGUUCUGACGGUACCCAAAGAAUAAGCACCGGCUAACUUCGUG